GGUGAAAAGCACCCCGGAAGGGGAGUGAAAUAGAACCUGAAACCGUGUGCUUACAAGUAGUCAGAGCCCGUUAAUGGGUGAUGGCGUGCCUUUUGUAGAAUGAACCGGCGAGUUACGAUUUGAUGCAAGGUUAAGCAGUAAAUGUGGAGCCGUAGCGAAAGCGAGUCUGAAUAGGGCGUUUAGUAUUUGGUCGUAGACCCGAAACCAGGUGAUCUACCCUUGGUCAGGUUGAAGUUCAGGUAACACUGAAUGGAGGACCGAACCGACUUACGUUGAAAAGUGAGCGGAUGAACUGAGGGUAGCGGAGAAAUUCCAAUCGAACCUGGAGAUAGCUGGUUCUCUCCGAAAUAGCUUUAGGGCUAGCCUCAAGUGAUGAUUAUUGGAGGUAGAGCACUGUUUGGACGAGGGGCCCCUCUCGGGUUACCGAAUUCAGACAAACUCCGAAUGCCAAUUAAUUUAACUUGGGAGUCAGAACAUGGGUGAUAAGGUCCGUGUUCGAAAGGGAAACAGCCCAGACCACCAGCUAAGGUCCCAAAAUAUAUGUUAAGUGGAAAAGGAUGUGGCGUUGCCCAGACAACUAGGAUGUUGGCUUAGAAGCAGCCAUCAUUUAAAGAGUGCGUAAUAGCUCACUAGUCGAGUGACACUGCGCCGAAAAUGUACCGGGGCUAAACAUAUUACCGAAGCUGUGGAUUGUCCUUUGGACAAUGGUAGGAGAGCGUUCUAAGGGCGUUGAAGCAUGAUCGUAAGGACAUGUGGAGCGCUUAGAAGUGAGAAUGCCGGUGUGAGUAGCGAAAGACGGGUGAGAAUCCCGUCCACCGAUUGACUAAGGUUUCCAGAGGAAGGCUCGUCCGCUCUGGGUUAGUCGGGUCCUAAGCUGAGGCCGACAG
rnacentral:rRNA from 1 species